rnacentral:ncRNA from 1 species
AACCGCCGUAUACGGAUCCGUACGUACGGUGGUGUGAGAGGUCGGGAGUUAAUCACUCCCUCCUACUCGAU